rnacentral:snRNA from 1 species
GUGCUGGCUUCAGCAGCACAUAUACUAAAAUUGGAACCAUACAGAGAAGAUUAGCAUGGCCCCCGCAUAAAUAUGACAUGCAAAUUCGUGAAGCCGUCCAUAUUUUU